GUGUGUAGAGGAAGAAUGGGCCGGGCCGGGCCCAUGCGAGGGGUGUGGUUGGGUAUAAACCAGGGGACAGUGUGUUUCCUGUUGUUGUCUUGUUUUGAAGCCCUGUGUCGUGUGGCGUCCAGCAUCCCUCCACUCCACUUUCUUUCUCCUCCUUGCACUCGCACUCGAUCCAGAGUGGGACUCUUCCUCGACAGACUCCUGUCAGGUCUGCGGCAUCCGUCUUUUUGGGAGCUCCCUGCAAAGCCUGAAACCAUGCUGACGUUGUUGGCGCUAGCGUCGGUCGUCCUCCUGGGAAUAGUGCCUGAGCAGUCCCAGGCCAUAGUGAUCUACACCGGCUGGGAACGCCACGCCCUGCUGGGCUCCGACAUCCGCCUCUCCUGUUCCUUCUUCUCCUGGCGCUGGACCUCGGAGGACGUCACCUUCUCCUGGACGUACAGGCCCGACGGCUCCCGGGACAGCAUCUCUAUCUUCCACUACACCGGGGGUGCCGCCUACGUGGACAACAAGGGCCCCUUCAGAGACCGGGUGGAGUUUGUGGGCAACCCGGGCCGCCGUGACGGCUCCAUCCUGAUCAAGAACCUGGACUUCAACGACAAUGGCACCUUCACCUGCGACGCCAAGAACCCCCCUGACAUCGUGGGCCGACCUUCCAGCGUGCGCCUGCUGGUCUUUGAGAAGGUGCCCAUCCAGGCUGGUGUGAUCACGGGCGCCAUCAUCGGGGUGGUGCUGGGCCUGCUGGUGCUCAUCGUGGUCAUCUACUACCUGAUGAGGUUCCUGGUGGCGCGCCGUGUCUUCAGCCUCAGUGUCAGCAAACAUGGCAAGAAAAAGAAAGAGGGAUCACAGCAGAGACAGGGCCCCGUGCCUCCCGCCGACCCCUCCAAGGUGAAGGCGGCUGCCUCGGAAAAGAAGAAGCAGGAGUCACGCAAGGAUAAGAAAUAGGAUACGGGGAGGGGCUGGGGCGGUCUGGCCAGCCGACUGCUCCAACCCGUGCACCUGGUGUUGCCGAAGGCCCAGCCCAAGCAGCAGCAGCGAACCGUAGCCACAAAGGCAGAGAGGGUGGUGGGAGGAGGGGAGGAAGGCCGGGUGCUGAUGACCAUCAAUCUGGAGCUGACCCGUAAAAACGGGGAGGAGAAGCCCGGCGAUAAAGGUCUGACUUCUCCAUGACUGCCUCCACUCCUCUAGUCUGCUCCCUCCUUUUCUGCCCAGCCUGAUGCAACCCCCAUUAUUUCCCAUUAUCUCUACUCUUUCAAGACAUCACUGGCUGUAAGAAUAGUCCUACUACAUCAGUGGUAACAGUGUCAAAUCAUCUGCACGACGGCUGAUUAGAGAGCCUGUAUGCACUCAUUGGGCAAACUGUAAAACUGUUUAAGGCCUAACAACACACAUAACUUCCUUAAGAGGAACCCGAAAGACUUCUCUCUGUGUUUAAGGUCCCCUGAAUCUUCCCCCUUAAUAUUUACGACUCAAUCACACACACACGCUGUGAGUGCACUCUGCACUUCAGAUAGAGAAAAAGAGAGACGGAGACGGAGUGGAGUGUGAUAGUGGGAGAGAAAUAUGAUUCCUGCUCUCAGCCGGCGUAGAUAGAGGUUCAAGCCCUCGAGCUCGGGGUGAUUCAAUCCUCUCACAUUUGAGCUAAUGGAGGUUGUCGCCGUGUCCCUGCCCUGACUAAAGGGGGGCUAUUUCUGGCCCCAUAAGAGUGUACGGGCUUACUGUAACAGCUGCACAUUUUUCAGUAACAGAGGGAGGGGGUGGAGAAAAAGAGUUGUCCGCUGUUGACUCGACGGGCAGCGACUGACGACCCGGAAUGACGUCACGGCGCGGAGGGCUGGCGGACGCUCUCAGGAGUCUGACAAAAAGGGCUUACCAGGAAGAGGUGCAGCUUCUGUGCUCUCAGAGUUAUUUUAGGUCCGGGUAAUCCUCUCGCACGUUUCUCCUCGCCAACCCAGGGCUAAUUAUUUUACCACGUGCCGGUAACAAGAUAUCUCUCUCUCCAUCUUCCUCUCUCCCUCCCUGUCUCCUCUGCUGCCUUCACUCCUUAGUUAUUCACUCUUCAUCUCUGCUCCCAUCUUGGGAUUCAUCUCCUCCCUUCAAACCCCUGUUUCGUUCACUCUGUCCUUACGUCUUUGGCUUCCUUUUAUCUCUUCCUCUUCCUGUUGUCUAGUGACUCUGCACUGCAUUAUUCCCCCACAGAAAAGGCCUAUACACAAUCCACUCCACUCUUUAAGCCUCUCCUUAUCUGACUGCCAGGCCUACAGCUCAAUGCUCUGCUCCUCUUUCCUCUCUCUUCUGUCCUUCGUCCUCCUCCUCCUCCUCCUCCUCCUCCUCCUCCUCCUCCUCCUCCUCCUCGUCCUUCUUCUCUUUUUCAAACUCGAUGACGGACAUCUCUCUCCCCUCCCUCCGGCUUGCCCAAUGAUCGACGAACGCCCUCUCAACUUGCCCUUCAAAAUGCCACCUCCCCCAGAGGCAUGUCCCCUGCCAGCCCGCCUUCCCUUCUUCCUCCGACCCUUUACUGUUUUGUUUCUGCCGGUUCAAAUGCCAAAAUGCUCCCCUCUGCCCCCUACUGGCAAAGGACGGAAACACAUGGGCAGAAAUCCGCCUUAAGUUCUAAAUACGACGCGUGUUUUAUGUAUAUGUGUGUCUAGUUAAGAGUGUUAAAAAGUGAGAUUUGAUGUAAAGCAACAAAAACAGUAUGUCACCCUAAGUAAAGCAAAUAAUGUUUUCUGAGACAUUUCUUACAUGUGCACAAGAAAACACAUGGAGAACAUGUUUAUCGAGGCAGGAAUGAAAUGUAGUUGUAUUCGAUGUCAUUACAUUUCUGACCUUGCGUGCUAUGGAAGGUGCUGUGUGGCUGUCUCUCUGGUGGACGUUUUGAUCCGAGGCGAGGAGACGAAGGUUGUCGUGCGGUGUCAGGGAGAAGAUGAGGGGUGGAUAAUAGUUCGGUUUAGCCUCAGAUUCAGCGAGAUGUGGCUGGGGAGGGGGAAAAAAAGGGGAGGAAGGGGCUUGCUGUGGGAGAAAGCUUUGGAGGAAGAGACUUAUCUGUCGUGUUAAGCCAAGCCAAAAAUCCAUAUGUAUCAGCACAGAUAGUCUUCUCUUCCCCCCAGAGCUUUCUUUUAAAGGUGCUCCUUCCCCAACUUUGAGCCAAAGAUGGAGUGCGAUCUGCGUGCUUGAUAUGCAGGGUAGAUAGUGUAGACUUGAAUGUUCCUUUAAAAUUCAUAACGGCAAUGAAGGUGCUAAAAUCCACAUAUUUAUAACUGGAGAUCUGUUUCACUAGUCGCUGUUUAACUGUCCAGUCACAUGGAUUAGUUAGAAUGUUUUCUUCUUUUUCAGCAAAGCCACACAGACACCUGACAUAAGACAAACAGCAUUAAAAUGCCUUUUAAAAAUUGUUUUAUAUGUGUUAUGAACUGUGUUAGUCAUAUUUGCAAAAAAAAUAACCUUCCUUUAUUUGAAAAGAAAAGAUUUGUUUUAAUGCGUGUGAUCAUUCCAGAGCACUAACACACUUUUGAUGACUCUGUCUGUAUAAUAUGUUGUAAAGAGAACGUAAAUAAAUAUUAAAGCCCGACCGCAGCUGUUAUCAACAGAACACAAAGCUGAA